rnacentral:rRNA from 1 species
UACAGAGGGCGCGAGCGUUAAUCGGAAUUACUGGGCGUAAAGCGUGCGUAGACGGCUAUCUAAGUCGGGUGUGAAAGCCCCGGGCUCAACCUGGGAAUUGCAUUCGAGACUGAAUAGCUAGGGUACGGUAGAGGGAAGUGGAAUUUCCGGUGUAGCGGUGAAAUGCGUAGAUAUCGGAAGGAACAUCAGUGGCGAAAGCGGCGACCUGGACAGAUAUUGACGCUGAGGCACGAAAGCGUGGGGAGCAAACAGG